AACAUCGCCUCUGUUUAAUAUAAGAGUCCAGCCUGCCCAGUGAAAAAAAUUAACGGCCGCGGUAUCCUAACCGUGCGAAGGUAGCGUAAUCACUUGUUCUUUAAAUCAGGACUAGUAUGAAUGGCACCACGAAGGUUAUACUGUCUCCCCUUNUUAAUCAGUGAAACUAAUCUCCCCGUGAAGAAGCGGGAAUAAAACUAUAAGACGAGAAGACCCUAUGGAGCUUUAGACUACAUAACAAUUGUUAUCUAUUUAUUUAUUCCCCCGGGAACUCAAUUAUAUUUAUUCAUAUUGAUUACUAGUCUUAGGUUGGGGUGACCGCGGAGUAAAAUAUAACCUCCAUGAUGAAAGAAACUUAAUUUCUUAACCCAGAGUUACAACUCUAAGUACCAAAAAUUUGACAUAAAUUGACCCAAUAAUUUGAUCAACGAACCAAGUUACCCUAGGGAUAACAGCGCANUCUACUUCNAGAGUCCCUAUCGACAAGUAGGUUUACGACCUCGAUGUUGGAUCAGGUAUCUAGUGGUGCAGCGCUACUAAAGGUUCGUUUGUUCACGAUUAAAACCCUACGUG
rnacentral:rRNA from 1 species